rnacentral:misc_RNA from 1 species
GAAAAUGGGGAACAAGAAAAUGAUAAGCCAUAAAUUUCUUGUAAUUGCCAAAUUGGAAAGAGGCAAAUAAUUGAACAGCAAGUUUUGUUGGAUUUUUUUUUGUCAUUUAAAAAAAACUACAACCGUAAGGUUUCAAUUUGUUUUGGUUUUAAUUUUAUCUUCUUCCAAUCCAUCAUCAGCCAGGCAGCAAAACCCAAAAUUUUAACAGAAAAGGCAAGAAAAAGAAUUCAAGUAUUCAUCCUUGCCCCAACAAGUACAAAAGGAGGUUCAUUCCUGCAAUGAGUAUCGAAGACCUGAAUCAUGAUUAGGACUUUCGGGGACAGAAACAACUGUACAAAUGAAAAUUGGCAAUAGAAUUGGAUGGCAAAUGGGUUUUGAUUGGAUAACGGGAUUGGAUUUGGAAUUGAAGCUCGAACUUCAAUCCACUUCUAAUUCUGAUAACAUUGAAACUGGGUUAGAAUUACAAUUUAAGUGUUUCCACUUAAUACAGAAUUAAAUAUUGGAAGAGAAAAUUCUUCAAAUUAGCAUGGUACUACUUCUAAGCUAUAAAAAAAAAAGCCACCACAUCAAACAAUAAAAGUUGCCCAAAACCCAAUUCUUCUCCGAC